rnacentral:rRNA from 1 species
UUGGACCUUGGACCUGGACAGGCGGUCCGCCUCACGGCGAGUACUGUCUUGCUGGGUCUUUCCUCUUGGUGAUCUGUUGUUUCGGCAGCAGGGAACCAGGACCUUUA